rnacentral:hammerhead_ribozyme from 1 species
GCACUGCUGAUGAGUCCCACAAUAGGACGAAACGGUCGUCCCGUGC